UACGAAGGGUGCGAGCGUUGUUCGGAAUUACUGGGCGUAAAGGGUUUGUAGGCUGAAAUGUAAGUCAAGUGUGAAAUCCCCGAGCUAAACUUGGGACGUGCAUUUGAAACUGUGUUUCUUGAGUAUCGUAGAGGGUGGUGGAAUUGUAGGUGUAGGAGUGACAUCCGUAGAGAUCUGCAGGAACAUCGGAGGCGAAGGCGACCACCUGGCCGAUUACUGACGCUGAGGAACGGAAAGCGUGGGGAGCCAAAGCAGG
rnacentral:rRNA from 1 species